AUUGAACGCUGGCGGCAGGCUUAACACAUGCAAGUCGAGCGGGGAAGGGUAGCUUGCUACCUGACCUAGCGGCGGACGGGUGAGUAAUGCUUAGGAAUCUGCCUAUUAGUGGGGGACAACAUUCCGAAAGGAAUGCUAAUACCGCAUACGCCCUACGGGGGAAAGCAGGGGAUCUUCGGACCUUGCGCUAAUAGAUGAGCCUAAGUCAGAUUAGCUAGUUGGUGGGGUAAAGGCCUACCAAGGCGACGAUCUGUAGCGGGUCUGAGAGGAUGAUCCGCCACACUGGGACUGAGACACGGCCCAGACUCCUACGGGAGGCAGCAGUGGGGAAUAUUGGACAAUGGGCGAAAGCCUGAUCCAGCCAUGCCGCGUGUGUGAAGAAGGCCUUUUGGUUGUAAAGCACUUUAAGCGAGGAGGAGGCUACCGAGAUUGAUACUCUUGGAUAGUGGACGUUACUCGCAGAAUAAGCACCGGCUAACUCUGUGCCAGCCGCCGCCGUAACAC
rnacentral:rRNA from 1 species